UAGGACCAUAUCACAUCGAAACACUGAUUCUCGUACGAUUAAAGAAGUUAAGUGACAUCGUGCCUGGUCAGUACUUGGAUGAGUGACCACUUGGAAAUACCAGGUGCUGUAAG